AGUGGCGACCGGGUGAGUAACACGUGACUAACCUACCUCCGAGUGGGGAAUAACUCCGGGAAACCGGGGCUAAUACCGCAUAACAUCGCGAGAUCAAAGCAGCAAUGCGCUUGGAGAGGGGGUCGCGGCUGAUUAGCUAGUUGGCGGGGUAACGGCCCACCAAGGCGAAGAUCGGUAUCCGGCCUGAGAGGGCGCACGGACACACUGGAACUGAAACACGGUCCAGACUCCUACGGGAGGCAGCAGUGGGGAAUUUUGCGCAAUGGGGGAAACCCUGACGCAGCAACGCCGCGUGGAGGAUGAAGCCCUUUGGGGCGUAAACUCCUUUCGACCAAGACGAUAAUGACGGUACUGGUGGAAGAAGCACCGGCUAACUCUGUGCCAGCAGCCGCGGUAAUACAGAGGGUGCGAGCGUUGUUCGGAAUUAUUGGGCGUAAAGGGCGCGUAGGCGGUGCCACAAGUCACUUGUGAAAUCUCCGGGCUUAACUCGGAGUCUGCAGGCGA
rnacentral:rRNA from 1 species